CACCAAGUGUUGGAUUGUU
rnacentral:snRNA from 1 species